CCUACGGUGGACAGCAGUGAGGAAUAUUGGUCAAUGGACGCAAGUCUGAACCAGCCAUGCCGCGUGCAGGAAGACGGCUCUAUGAGUUGUAAACUGCUUUUGUACGAGGGUAAACGCAGAUACGCGUAUCUGUCUGAAAGUAUCGUACGAAUAAGGAUUGGCUAACUCCGUGCCAGCAGCCGCGGUAAUACGGAGGAUUCAAGCGUUAUCCGGAUUUAUUGGGUUUAAAGGGUGCGUAGGCGGUCGGAUAAGUUAGAGGUGAAAUCCCGAGGCUCAACUUCGGAAUUGCCUCUGAUACUGUUCGGCUAGAGAGUAGUUGCGGUAGGCGGAAUGUAUGGUGUAGCGGUGAAAUGCUUAGAGAUCAUACAGAACACCGAUUGCGAAGGCAGCUUACCAAGCUACUUCUGACGUUGAGGCACGAAAGCGUGGGGAGCAAACAGGAUUAGAUACCCGAGUAGUC
rnacentral:rRNA from 1 species